UACGGAGGGUGCGAGCGUUGUCCGGAAUCACUGGGCGUAAAGGGCGCGUAGGUGGCGCGGGAAGUCAACGGUGAAAGUUCGGGGCUCAACCCCUGAAUCGGCCGUCGAUACUCCCGGGCUCGAGCACUGUAGAGGCAGAUGGAAUUCCGGGUGUAGCGGUGGGAAUGCGUAGAGAUCCGGAAGAACACCGGUGGCGAAGGCGGUCGUGCGUGGG
rnacentral:rRNA from 1 species